AUUGAACACUGGCGGCAUGCCUUACACAUGCAAGUCGAACGGUAACGGGUCCUUCGGGAUGCCGACGAGUGGCGAACGGGUGAGUAAUAUAUCGGAACGUGCCCAGUAGUGGGGGAUAACUGCUCGAAAGAGCAGCUAAUACCGCAUACGACCUGAGGGUGAAAGGGGGGGAUCGCAAGACCUCUCGCUAUUGGAGCGGCCGAUAUCAGAUUAGCUAGUUGGUGGGGUAAAGGCCUACCAAGGCAACGAUCUGUAGUUGGUCUGAGAGGACGACCAGCCACACUGGGACUGAGACACGGCCCAGACUCCUACGGGAGGCAGCAGUGGGGAAUUUUGGACAAUGGGCGCAAGCCUGAUCCAGCAAUGCCGCGUGCAGGAAGAAGGCCUUCGGGUUGUAAACUGCUUUUGUCGGGGAAGAAAUCUUCUGGGCUAAUACCCCGGGAGGAUGACGGUACCUGAAGAAUAAGCACCGGCUAACUACGUGCCAGCAGCCGCGGUAAUACGUAGGGUGCGAGCGUUAAUCGGAAUUACUGGGCGUAAAGCGUGCGCAGGCGGCUUUGCAAGACAGAUGUGAAAUCCCCGGGCUCAACCUGGGAACUGCAUUUGUGACUGCAAGGCUAGAGUACGGCAGAGGGGGAUGGAAUUCCGCGUGUAGCAGUGAAAUGCGUAGAUAUGCGGAGGAACGCCAAUGGCGAAGGCAAUCCCCUGGGCCUGUACUGACGCUCAUGCACGAAAGCGUGGGGAGCAAACAGGAUUAGAUACCCUGGUAGUCCACGCCCUAAACGAUGUCAACUGGUUGUUGGACGGCUUGCUGUUCAGUAACGAAGCUAACGCGUGAAGUUGACCGCCUGGGGAGUACGGCCGCAAGGUUGAAACUCGAAGGAAUUGACGGGGACCCGCACAAGCGGUGGAUGAUGUGGUUUAAUUCGAUGCAACGCGAAAAACCUUACCUACCCUUGACAUGUCAAGAAUUCUGCAGAGAUGUGGAAGUGCUCGAAAGAGAACUUGAACACAGGUGCUGCAUGGCCGUCGUCAGCUCGUGUCGUGAGAUGUUGGGUUAAGUCCCGCAACGAGCGCAACCCUUGUCAUUAGUUGCUACGCAAGAGCACUCUAAUGAGACUGCCGGUGACAAACCGGAGGAAGGUGGGGAUGACGUCAGGUCCUCAUGGCCCUUAUGGGUAGGGCUACACACGUCAUACAAUGGCCGGUACAGAGGGCUGCCAACCCGCGAGGGGGAGCCAAUCCCAGAAAACCGGUCGUAGUCCGGAUCGUAGUCUGCAACUCGACUGCGUGAAGUCGGAAUCGCUAGUAAUCGCGGAUCAGCUUGCCGCGGUGAAUACGUUCCCGAGUCU
rnacentral:rRNA from 1 species